CUACGGCCAUAUCACAUUGUAACACCGGUCCCGUGCGAUCACCGAAGUUAAGCAAAGUCGAGCCUGGUCAUUACCUAAAUGGGUGAUCACCUGGGAAUACCAGGUGCUGUAAG